rnacentral:rRNA from 2 species
GCUAAUCCUGGUCGGACAUCAGGAGGUUAGUGCAAUGGCAUAAGCCAGCUUGACUGCGAGCGUGACGGCGCGAGCAGGUGCGAAAGCAGGUCAUAGUGAUCCGGUGGUUCUGAAUGGAAGGGCCAUCGCUCAACGGAUAAAAGGUACUCCGGGGAUAACAGGCUGAUACCGCCCAAGAGUUCAUAUCGACGGCGGUGUUUGGCACCUCGAUGUCGGCUCAUCACAUCCUGGGGCUGAAGUAGGUCCCAAGGGUAUGGCUGUUCGCCAUUUAAAGUGGUACGCGAGCUGGGUUUAGAACGUCGUGAGACAGUUCGGUCCCUAUCUGCCGUGGGCGCUGGAGAACUGAGGGGGGCUGCUCCUAGUACGAGAGGACCGGAGUGGACGCAUCACUGGUGUUCGGGUUGUCAUGCCAAUGGCACUGCCCGGUAGCUAAAUGCGGAAGAGAUAAGUGCUGAAAGCAUCUAAGCACGAAACUUGCCCCGAGAUGAGUUCUCCCUGACCCUUUAAGGGUCCUGAAGGAACGUUGAAGACGACGACGUUGAUAGGCCGGGUGUGUAAGCGCAGCGAUGCGUUGAGCUAACCGGUACUAAUGAACCGUGAGGCUUAACCUU